GAAUUUUCCAAUUGGAACGAAUGCCAGGAUGAAUUGCUUGGCCUUCUGUAACACCUUUCAUGUAAAGGUCUUCAUGUGCAUUGCAGACACAAGCUCAUUAGCUUCCUGACAGCCUUGGGAGACAGGUUACUUGCUUGUCCAGAGAAGAAAAGAACUGAGUGGGUCACCAGUUUGAGCCCUGAGGCAUGUCUGCCUGGAGAUUGCUUUUCAUAGAAGAGAGAAUAUUGCGCAGAACCUAUAAAACUCAAAUGUAAAAGGUCUAUUUACACAAGUGGCCUAUUCCAGGUUCUGCCACUGGGAGAUUCUUGUUCUCAUCAGGAGAAAGAAUUCGGGACAGAAGGGCAGCAAAUCACACUGCCCAGUUUUAUUAAAGCAGAAGUAUACUUCCAAGGUGAGGGAGUGGGCAGGCCAGG
rnacentral:lncRNA from 1 species